CAAUAGCGUAUAUUAAAGUUGUUGCGGUUAAAAAGCUCGUAGUUGGAUUUCUGCUGAGAACGACCGGUCCGCCCAUUGGGUGUGUAUCUGGCUCUUUCUUGGCAUCUUCUUGGUGAACGUUACUGCACUUGACUGUGUGGAGCGCUACCCAGGACUUUUACUUUGAGGAAAUUAGAGUGUUUCAAGCAGGCAUACGCCUUGAAUACGUUAGCAUGGAAUAAUAAGAUAGGACCUCGGUUCUAUUUUGUUGGUUUCUAGAGCUGAGGUAAUGAUUAAUAGGGAUAGUUGGGGGUGCUCGUAUUCAACGGCCAGAGGUGAAAUUCUUGGAUUCGUUGAAGACGAACUUAUGCGAAAGCAUUCACCAAGGAUGUCUUCUUUAA
rnacentral:rRNA from 1 species